GGAAUAUUGGACAAUGGCCGGAAGGCUGAUCCAGCCAUGCCGCGUGCGGGAAGGCGGCCCUAUGGGUUGUAAACCGCUUUUGCGGGGGAGCAAUAAGGUGCACGUGUGCACCGAUGAGAGUACCCCGCGAAUAAGCAUCGGCUAACUCCGUGCCAGCAGCCGCGGUAAUACGGAGGAUGCAAGCGUUAUCCGGAUUUAUUGGGUUUAAAGGGUGCGUAGGCGGAUGCCUAAGCGUGAGGUGAAAUCCCCGGGCUCAACCUGGGAACUGCCUCGCGAACUGGGUAUCUGGAAUGCCCCUGCCGUGGGAGGAAUGUGUGGUGUAGCGGUGAAAUGCAUAGAGAUCACACAGAACACCGAUUGCGAAGGCAUCUCACGAAGGGGUGAUUGACGCUGAGGCACGAAAGCGUGGGGAUCAAACA
rnacentral:rRNA from 1 species